AUUGAACGCUGGCGGCAGGCCUAACACAUGCAAGUCGAGCGGAUGAAGGGAGCUUGCUCCUGGAUUCAGCGGCGGACGGGUGAGUAAUGCCUAGGAAUCUGCCUGGUAGUGGGGGAUAACGUCCGGAAACGGGCGCUAAUACCGCAUACGUCCUGAGGGAGAAAGUGGGGGAUCUUCGGACCUCACGCUAUCUGAUGAGCCUAGGUCGGAUUAGCUAGUUGGUGGGGUAAAGGCCUACCAAGGCGACGAUCCGUAACUGGUCUGAGAGGAUGAUCAGUCACACUGGAACUGAGACAAGGUCCAGACUCCUACAGGAGGCAGCAGUGGGGAAUAUUGGACAAUGGGCGAAAGCCUGAUCCAGCCAUGCCGCGUGUGUGAAGAAGGUCUUCGGAUUGUAAAGCACUUUAAGUUGGGAGGAAGGGCAGUAAGUUAAUACCUUGCUGUUUUGACGUUACCAACAGAAUAAGCACCGGCUAACUUCGUG
rnacentral:rRNA from 1 species